rnacentral:rRNA from 1 species
AUUGAACGCUGGCGGCAGGCCUAACACAUGCAAGUCGAGCGGAUGAGGGAAGCUUGCUUCCCGAUUUAGCGGCGGACGGGUGAGUAAUGCCUAGGAAUCUGCCUAUUAGUGGGGGAUAACGUUCCGAAAGGAACGCUAAUACCGCAUACGUCCUACGGGAGAAAGUGGGGGAUCUUCGGACCUCCCGCUAAGAGAAGAGCCAAGGUCGGAUUAGCUAGUUGGCGAGGUAACGGCUCACCAAGGCGACGAUCCGUAGCUGGUCUGAGAGGAUGAUCAGCCACACUGGAACUGAGAUACGGUCCAGACUCCUACAGGAGGCAGCAGUGGGGAAUAUUGGACAAUGGGCGAAAGCCUGAUCCAGCCAUGCCGCGUGUGUGAAGAAGGUCUUCGGAUUGUAAAGCACUUUAAGUUGGGAGGAAGAGUUGUAAGCUAAUAUCUUGCAGCUUUGACGUUACCAACAGAAUAAGCACCGGCUAACUCUGUGCCAGCCGCCGCAGUAAGAC